rnacentral:snRNA from 1 species
AGAUGUGAAUAUGAUCAAGUUGUGAUAUUUGUCGCCAGGGUUGGUUUUGCUGAUCUGACUAGAUAGGCAAAUGUCCUUCUCCUCCCUCAUCACUCCAUGCAAUUCCCUCAGAAGCUUCUUGGCUAGUGUUGAAGAGUACAACUUUGCACAAAUANAGGAGGACAGGUAUGCAGUCAAGGGUGUAGGUGUCUCUGUGCUCCCCUGCUAUAGNCUCCAAACAAGCUUUCAUGGUNNUGGAGUUUUAUCACAACAGCAGAUAAUAACUAAUAAAGAGCACCAACCUAUUAUGACAUGAUCACAGU